CUGCGAGAAAUCGUAGCUAAUACCGCAUGUGCCCGCAAGGGUAAAGCUUCGGCGCUUCAAGAGGGGCCUGCGGCGCAUCAGUUUGUUGGUGAGGUAACGGCUCACCAAGACUAUGACGCGUACCUGGUGUGAGAGCACGACCAGGCAGAAUGGGACUGAGACACGGCCCAUACUCCUACGGGAGGCAGCAGUGAGGAAUCUUCCACAAUGGGCGAAAGCCUGAUGGAGCCAUACCGCGUGCGGGAUGACACCUUUCGGGGCGUAAACCGCUUUUCUGGGGGAAUAAGUUCUGAAGGUACCCCAGGAAUAAGCUACGGCUAACUACGUGCCAGCAGCCGCGGUAAUACGUAGGUAGCAAGCGUUAUCCGGAAUCACUGGGCGUAAAGCGAUCGAAGGCUGUGAAGAAAGUCGGAUGUUAAAUACCUUGGCUCAACCAAGGUGCUGUAUCCGAAACUUCUUUGCUAGAGGGAGACAGAGGCAGAUGGAAUUCCUAUUGUAGGGGUUAAAUCCGUAGAUAAUAGGAGGAACACCAAAAGCGAAGGCAAUCUGCUGGGUCUCACCUGACGCUGCGCGAUCGAAAGCGUGGGGAGCGAAAAGGAUUAGAUACCCUUGUAGUCCACGCCGUAAACGAUGAAUACUCGAUGUUGGAGGGUCCAAUCCCCUUCAGUGUCCAAGCUAACGCGUUAAGUAUUCCGCCUGAAGAGUACGGUCGCAAGAUUAAAACUCAAAGGAAUAGACGGGGAUCCACACAAGCGGUGGAGCGUCUGGUUUAAUUCGACAAUAAGCGAGGAACCUUACCAAGACUUGACAUCCUUAGAAUUCACUGGAAACAGAGAAGUGCCUUCGGGAACUAAGUGACAGGUGUUGCAUGGUCGUCGUCAGCUCGUGCCUUGAGGUGUUCGGUUAAGUCCGUUAACGAGCGCAACCCUCGUCGUAUGUUGUAUGUUUCAUGCGAGACCGCCGGUCUUACAUCGGAGGAAGGUGAGGAUGACGUCAGAUCAGCAUGGCCCUUAUGUCUUGGGCGACACAGGCGCUACAAUGGUUGGUACAAAGGGCUGCGAAGCAGCAAUGUGAAGCCAAUCCCAAAAAACCAAUCUCAGUUCGGAUUGAGGUCUGCAACUCGACCUCAUGAAGUUGGAAUCGCUAGUAACCGUGAAUCAGCCAUGUCACGGUGAAUAUGUUCCUGGAUCUUGUACUCACCGCCCGUCAAGUCAUGCAAGGCAGAGACGCCCAAAGUCGCGUUACCCGCCUCGGUGGGGCGUGCCUAAGGUGAAGCUGCUGAUUGGGACUAAGUCGUAACAAGGUA
rnacentral:rRNA from 1 species